rnacentral:rRNA from 1 species
UACGAAGGGGGCUAGCGUUGCUCGGAAUCACUGGGCGUAAAGGGUGCGUAGGCGGGUCUUUAAGUCAGGGGUGAAAUCCUGGAGCUCAACUCCAGAACUGCCUUUGAUACUGAGAAGCUUGAGUCCGGGAGAGGUGAGUGGAACUGCGAGUGUAGAGGUGAAAUUCGUAGAUAUUCGCAAGAACACCAGUGGCGAAGGCGGCUCACUGGCCCGGUACUGACGCUGAGGUGCGAAAGCGUGGGGAGCAA